AGCAGCCGCGGUAAUUCCAGCUCCAAUAGCGUAUAUUAAAGUUGCUGCAGUUAAAAAGCUCGUAGUUGAAUUUCGGGACUAAUAUGUCGGUCGUGCCUCAGUACGUACUGGUUUAUUGGUUUCUCCUUUCUGAAGAACCAUGAUGUCAUUUAUUUGGUGUCGUGGGGAAUCAGGACUGCUACUUUGAAAAAAUUAGAGUGUUUAAAGCAGGCUCACGCUUGAAUACAUUAGCAUGGAAUAAUGAAAUAGGACGUUUGAUUCUAUUUUGUUGGUUUCUAGGAUCGACGUAAUGAUUAAUAGGGAUAGUUGGGGGCAUUAGUAUUCAAUUGUCAGAGGUGAAAUUCUUGGAUUUAUUGAAGACUAACUACUGCGAAAGCAUUUGCCAAGGAUGUUUUCAUUAAUCAAGAACGAAAGUUAGGGGAUCGAAGACGAUUAGAUACCGUCGUAGUCUUAACCAUAAACUAUGCCGACUAGGGAUCGGAUGAUGUUAAUUUUUUAAUGACUCAUUCGGCGCCUUACG
rnacentral:misc_RNA from 1 species